rnacentral:pre_miRNA from 1 species
UUUGUACUCCCUCCGUCCCAAAAUUCUUGUCUUAAAUUUGUCUAAAUACGGAUGUAUCUAGUUACAUUUUAGUGUUAGAUACAUCCGUAUCUAAACAAAUAUAAGACAAGAAUUUUGGGACGGAGGGAAUACUAC